AAGCGGCAACAGCUCAAAUUUGAAAUCUGGCCCUUGGGUCCGAGUUGUAAUUUGUAGAGGAUGCUUUUGGCGAGGUGCCUUCCGAGUUCCCUGGAACGGGACGCCAUAGAGGGUGAGAGCCCCGUCUGGUCGGACACCGAGCCUCUGUAAAGCUCCUUCGACGAGUCGAGUAGUUUGGGAAUGCUGCUCAAAAUGGGAGGUAUAUGUCUUCUAAAGCUAAAUAUUGGCCAGAGACCGAUAGCGCACAAGUAGAGUGAUCGAAAGAUGAAAAGCACUUUGAAAAGAGGGUUAAAAAGUACGUGAAAUUGUUGAAAGGGAAGCGCCUAUGACCAGACUUGGGCCCGGUGAAGCAUCCAGCGUUCUCGCUGGUGCACUUUGCCGGGCACAGGCCAGCAUCAGUUUGGCGCGGGGGAAAAAGGCUGUGGGAAUGGGGCUCCCUCGGGAGUGUUAUAGCCCAUUGGUGUAAUUACCCUGCGCCGGACUGAGGUACACGCAUUGCAGGGAUGCUGGCCUUAAUGGUCAUCAGC
rnacentral:rRNA from 1 species